GGGUUGUGAGGUUAAGCGACUAAGCGUACACGGUGGAUGCCCUGGCAGUCAGAGGCGAUGAAGGACGUGCUAAUCUGCGAAAAGCGCCGGCGAGGUGAUAUGAACCUUUGACCCGGCGAUGUCCGAAUGGGGAAACCCAGUGUGAUUCGUCACACUAUCGUUAACUGAAUACAUAGGUUAACGAGGCGAACCGGGGGAACUGAAACAUCUAAGUACCCCGAGGAAAAGAAAUCAACCGAGAUUCCCCCAGUAGCGGCGAGCGAACGGGGAGCAGCCCAGAGUCUGAAUCAGCUUGUGUGUUAGUGGAAGCGUCUGGAAAGUCGCACGGUACAGGGUGACAGUCCCGUACACGAAAGCACACAGGUUGUGAACUCGAAGAGUAGGGCGGGACACGUGGUAUCCUGUCUGAAUAUGGGGGGACCAUCCUCCAAGGCUAAAUACUCCUGACUGACCGAUAGUGAACCAGUACCGUGAGGGAAAGGCGAAAAGAACCCCGGCGAGGGGAGUGAAAAAGAACCUGAAACCGUGUACGUACAAGCAGUGGGAGCACCUUCGUGGUGUGACUGCGUACCUUUUGUAUAAUGGGUCAGCGACUUAUAUUCUGUAGCAAGGUUAACCGUAUAGGGGAGCCGAAGGGAAACCGAGUCUUAACUGGGCGUUAAGUUGCAGGGUAUAGACCCGAAACCCGGUGAUCUAGCCAUGGGCAGGUUGAAGGUUGGGUAACACUAACUGGAGGACCGAACCGACUAAUGUUGAAAAAUUAGCGGAUGACUUGUGGCUGGGGGUGAAAGGCCAAUCAAACCGGGAGAUAGCUGGUUCUCCCCGAAAGCUAUUUAGGUAGCGCCUCGUGAACUCAUCUUCGGGGGUAGAGCACUGUUUCGGCUAGGGGGCCAUCCCGGCUUACCAACCCGAUGCAAACUACGAAUACCGAAGAAUGUUAUCACGGGAGACACACGGCGGGUGCUAACGUCCGUCGUGAAGAGGGAAACAACCCAGACCGCCAGCUAAGGUCCCAAAGUCAUGGUUAAGUGGGAAACGAUGUGGGAAGGCACAGACAGCCAGGAUGUUGGCUUAGAAGCAGCCAUCAUUUAAAGAAAGCGUAAUAGCUCACUGGUCGAGUCGGCCUGCGCGGAAGAUGUAACGGGGCUAAACCAUGCACCGAAGCUGCGGCAGCGACACUAUGUGUUGUUGGGUAGGGGAGCGUUCUGUAAGCCGUUGAAGGUGUGCUGUGAGGCAUGCUGGAGGUAUCAGAAGUGCGAAUGCUGACAUAAGUAACGAUAAAGCGGGUGAAAAGCCCGCUCGCCGGAAGACCAAGGGUUCCUGUCCAACGUUAAUCGGGGCAGGGUGAGUCGACCCCUAAGGCGAGGCCGAAAGGCGUAGUCGAUGGGAAACAGGUUAAUAUUCCUGUACUUGGUGUUACUGCGAAGGGGGGACGGAGAAGGCUAUGUUAGCCGGGCGACGGUUGUCCCGGUUUAAGCAUGUAGGCGGAACGAUUAGGUAAAUCCGGUCGUUUUUUAACGCUGAGGUGUGAUGACGAGGCACUACGGUGCUGAAGUAACAAAUGCCCUGCUUCCAGGAAAAGCCUCUAAGCAUCAGGUAACAUCAAAUCGUACCCCAAACCGACACAGGUGGUCAGGUAGAGAAUACCAAGGCGCUUGAGAGAACUCGGGUGAAGGAACUAGGCAAAAUGGUGCCGUAACUUCGGGAGAAGGCACGCUGAUAUGUAGGUGAAGCCCCUGCGGGUGGAGCUGAAAUCAGUCGAAGAUACCAGCUGGCUGCAACUGUUUAUUAAAAACACAGCACUGUGCAAACACGAAAGUGGACGUAUACGGUGUGACGCCUGCCCGGUGCCGGAAGGUUAAUUGAUGGGGUUAGCGGCNNNNNNNNNNNNNNNNNNNNNNNNNNNNNNNNNNNNNNNNNNNNNNNNNNNNNNNNNNNNNNNNNNNNNNNNNNNNNNNNNNNNNNNNNNNNNNNNNGCAACGCGAAGCUCUUGAUCGAAGCCCCGGUAAACGGCGGCCGUAACUAUAACGGUCCUAAGGUAGCGAAAUUCCUUGUCGGGUAAGUUCCGACCUGCACGAAUGGCGUAAUGAUGGCCAGGCUGUCUCCACCCGAGACUCAGUGAAAUUGAACUCGCUGUGAAGAUGCAGUGUACCCGCGGCAAGACGGAAAGACCCCGUGAACCUUUACUAUAGCUUGACACUGAACACUGGUCCUUGAUGUGUAGGAUAGGUGGGAGGCUUUGAAGUGUGGACGCCAGUCUGCAUGGAGCCGUCCUUGAAAUACCACCCUUUAAUGGCUGGUGUUCUAACGUAGACCCGUAAUCCGGGUUGCGGACAGUGUCUGGUGGGUAGUUUGACUGGGGCGGUCUCCUCCCAAAGAGUAACGGAGGAGCACGAAGGUUAGCUAAUCCUGGUCGGACAUCAGGAGGUUAGUGCAAUGGCAUAAGCUAGCUUGACUGCGAGAGUGACGGCUCGAGCAGGUGCGAAAGCAGGUCAUAGUGAUCCGGUGGUUCUGAAUGGAAGGGCCAUCGCUCAACGGAUAAAAGGUACUCCGGGGAUAACAGGCUGAUACCGCCCAAGAGUUCAUAUCGACGGCGGUGUUUGGCACCUCGAUGUCGGCUCAUCACAUCCUGGGGCUGAAGUAGGUCCCAAGGGUAUGGCUGUUCGCCAUUUAAAGUGGUACGCGAGCUGGGUUUAGAACGUCGUGAGACAGUUCGGUCCCUAUCUGCCGUGGGCGCUGGAGAAUUGAGGGGGGCUGCUCCUAGUACGAGAGGACCGGAGUGGACGCAUCACUGGUGUUCGGGUUGUCAUGCCAAUGGCACUGCCCGGUAGCUAAAUGCGGAAAAGAUAAGUGCUGAAAGCAUCUAAGCACGAAACUUGCCCCGAGAUGAGUUCUCCCUGAGACUUUAAGUCUCCUGAAGGAACGUUGAAGACGACGACGUUGAUAGGUCGGGUGUGUAAGCGCAGCGAUGCGUUGAGCUAACCGAUACUAAUGAACCGUGAGGCUUAACCUUACAACGCCGAAG
rnacentral:rRNA from 1 species